GCGUGCCUAAUACAUGCAAAGUAGAACGCUGAUGUUUGGUGUUUACACUAGACUGAUGAGUUGCGAACGGGUGAGUAACGCGUAGGUAACCUGCCUCAUAGCGGGGGAUAACUAUUGGAAACGAUAGCUAAUACCGCAUAAGAGUGAUUAACACAUGUUAGUUAUUUAAAAGGAGCAAUUGCUUCACUGUGAGAUGGACCUGCGUUGUA
rnacentral:rRNA from 1 species